GGGGGGCUCAGUGGUAGAGCACAUGCUUAGCAUGCAUGAGGCCCUAGUCUCAAUCCCCAGGACCUCCA
rnacentral:tRNA from 1 species